UUUUUUUUUGCCACCUCACAUCCUCUUUGUCGACAUGGGCCAAGGCAGUUAAACUUUGUUUGUGGCCCAUUUGAGAUCGUUGUGAUUUCUUCGUGAGACGAAUCCCCUCUAUAGCCAUCGUUUCUACUCCUCCAAAUCUUCGUUACUCUGAAUCAUUGAUUCUACUCUUUACACCUCCAUUCAAGAUGUAUCCUUUCACCUCCUUUUUUUCCUCCUGCUUCUGUAUAUUUCACUGACAUCUCCUCGGCCCAGCCGAUUCAGAACUAAGCUUUGAGCGUCUCCUUAUCCGACGAACAUCAAUGGCAACACAAAGAAGAGGAGGAGCGUUUUUUGAGGGAGCUAUUGAAGAAGAAGAGUGUGAAGGUGGAGAGAGAGAAGCUGCUAGCUUGAGAGUGAGACAAGAGAAGGCACUUGCUGUAACCUGAGUUAUAAUUUCUUUCUGACUUAUUUCUUAUACUUGGCUCAAUAAAGGUCACACUAUUACUUAGUGUAUGCAAAGAAAAUCAAUAUAUUUCACUUAUAUUGGUAUUCAAAACUUCGUGAGGGAACUUCAAGGUAGAUCUGCUCAGCCCUAUUUCCCGUUUGAACCUGCAGCUGGCAGCAAAAGAUUCUGCAGCCUAAUUGCAGGAUUUAUGAGGACAUACCACCGUAUUCCAAUUAAACAAGAUAACAUUGUCGUGUCUCCAUCAAGGGCUGUUGCAAUCGAGAGUGCAUUAUGGUUAUUCUCCCCUCGACUUGCAAUUGUUGAUGAGCAUUUAACUCGACAACUUCCAAGGAGCUGGCUAACUUCUUUAGCCAUUCAGGUAAAAUUCUAUUUCCGCAUCUGUUACUUUUACUUAGUUUUGAAAAGAAACGAUGGCUCGGAAUGCAUUUUAUGAGACUAUAAAAUUGCAUUUUACUUACUUUUACAAAUUGUAUUUCUGUCUCGAGAUCACUGACAUUCACAGAUUAUAGCGUAUGUCGGAUUGUCUUUUAAAACUAACAUACUCUGCUACUUCGCCCACUCAUGCACUAGAUUGUCAUACCUAUCAUUUCUGGUUCAUAGAACGGAUCAAAAUGACUUGACAAGGGAUUGCUGAAACCAAAGAGCUGUUUUACCAAUAUGGUGCUUCAGAGAUGCAAGAUGACAUUCCGGUCUAAUGCUUACAUUACUGGACUAAUUAUUAUUGGUGGACUGACUCUGUUUCCUUUUGCCCUCUUGGUCACAAAAUAAAGAUUGGAUCUUCAAGAAUUUUAUGUUGGUGAUGUUUUGAUGUCUUUUUCGAGGGAGGGAUAACAAGACCCUUGAUAAAGACGAAGGUGAUUGCAUUGAAGAUCCAGGAUACAGUGUUUGUUUUGAAUGAUCCAAAGAAUAUCAGUUAGCUGUUUGUUAGUGGUUUUUUUAAUAGGGGCUUUCAAGUGCUUCUGCCAUGGCCACUGCUUUGUAUUUGGAGAAAAAUCAUGUAGAUUAGUUGAGAGAUAUGGAGGCUAAAUUGUUUAUGGUUUUAAUUUUUGUUUUGUGUUUUGGAAUUUGAUGUAUAGUGUGCAGAGAGAGAUGUGUAGUGUUAAAUUUCAAAUGCUGUCUAUGUUGUAUUGUAUGGUUUUGUAUUCUUU